GUUAUUAUGCAUAAGUCUUUCCUUAUGCAUGGUGCAUAAACACUUCACAACCAUCAGAUCCAUUUACACGUGUAAUAAUCCUAAGAAGGAAGAGAUAUUGACAGAGCUGAAGCAAGUGGUGAAGGAAUUGCGGGAAGAUGAUUCGACGAAACGGCGAAUCGCGGCGGCGAGAGUAACCAUCGCACAGUGGCGAACCUUCCACUGCCUCCUGAACCGCCAGAUAAUGUUACACUUCCAACAUUGAUUGCUCUUAUGGUUGAGUAUCUAGACCUUGGACUGGCCAUAACCUGGACAUAUUGGUUCACCUCAAGCAACAUAAUGUCUAUCCAAUUGGACCCAUAGGUGCAAUGAAUCAGUUGCACAAAAUUGUUUGUCAUCCUUGGUUUGAAGCAAAUGUUAUGCAUUCAACUACUCUUGUGUAUUCACUGAUGCAAAUCCAUAUUAAUUCUUUGUUGCCAAGCUCACAUUCAAGGAAAUGUGUAUAGUUCCCAACAAGAAAAAAGGGUGGAAGCAAGUUGGAGUUUUUUCUAUAUGGAUCAUAUCACAACUUAAUUGCCCUUUGAGUGUCAUUCUGUACACAAUAUUGCCCUUUAGAAUUAUAUUGUGUAUUUGGAAUGAUUAUGAAGUGUGCUCUGAUACUGAAACCAUUAGUAUUGUUAAAUGGUUUCAAGAUGUUAUACACUGAAACCAUUAGUAUUGUUAAAUGGUUUUAUAUAAUCAUUAGUAUCGUUAAACCA